GGGAUUAUAGCUCAGUGGCAGAGCGCUUGCCUUGCGAGUAUGAGGCACUGGGUUUGAUCCUC
rnacentral:tRNA from 1 species